rnacentral:rRNA from 1 species
UACGGAGGGUGCAAGCGUUAUCCGGAUUCACUGGGUUUAAAGGGUGCGUAGGCGGGCAGGUAAGUCCGUGGUGAAAUCUCUGAGCUUAACUCAGAAACUGCCAUGGAUACUAUUUGUCUUGAAUAUUGUGGAGGUAAGCGGAAUAUGUCAUGUAGCGGUGAAAUGCGUAGAGAUCCGGAGGAACACCAGUGGCGAAGGCGACACGCUGGGCCGUACCUGACACUGAUGCGCGACAGCAUGGGGAGCAAACAGG